GAGAAAAUUCCUGUCCUGUUAACAUCUUGAAACCUGUUCAAGAGGAUCAUCGGGGCCUUCACCCAGGUCUGCCUGGGUGUGCUGGGACUAGAAAGAUAAGAAAAUUUACCCAGAAGAGAUCCAAAAUGGCAUACGAUAGUUGCUACUGUAUUGUGAGAACCUCGUCUUGGGCACUUGGAC
rnacentral:lncRNA from 1 species